rnacentral:rRNA from 1 species
AACGAACGCUAUCGGUAUGCUUAACACAUGCAAGUCGGACGGACUAAUUAGGGCUUGCUCCACUUAGUUAUUGGCAGACGGGUGAGUAACACGUGGGCAUCUGCCCCUCAUUACGGAAUAACUUUUAGAAAUAAAAGCUAAUACCGUAUAUUCUCUACACAGGAAAGAUUUAUCGCUGAUGGUUGAGCCCUCGUCAGAUUAGGUAGGUGGUGAGGUAACGGCUCACCAAGCCGACGAUCUGUAGCUGGUCUGAGAGGAUGAUCAGCCACACUGGGAGUGAGACACGGCGCAGACUCCUACGGGAGGCAGCAGGGGGGAAUAUGGGACAACGGGCGAAAGCAGGAGGCAGCAAGACCGAGAGAGUGAUAAAGGCCCUAGGAUUGGAAAGCGCUUUUAGCAAGGAAGAUAAUGACGUAACUAGAAGAAAAAGCCCGGGCUAACUCGGU